CCAAUAGCGUAUAUUAAAGUUGUUGCAGUUAAAAAGCUCGUAGUUGAAUUUCGGGAUUAGUGCGUUGGUCGUGCCUUCGGUACGUACUGGUGUUACUGGUUCCUACCUUCUGACGAACCAUCAUGUCAUUAAUUUGGUGUGGUGGGAAAUCAGGACUGUUACUUUGAAAAAAUUAGAGUGUUUAAAGCAGGCUCGCGCUUGAAUACAUUA
rnacentral:rRNA from 1 species